rnacentral:rRNA from 1 species
AACGAACGCUGGCGGCAGGCUUAACACAUGCAAGUCGAACGCACCUUUCGGGGUGAGUGGCAGACGGGUGAGUAACGCGUGGGAAUCUACCCUUCUCUACGGGAUAGCUCCGGGAAACUGGAAUUAAUACCGUAUACGUCCUGAGGGAGAAAGAUUUAUCGGGGAAGGAUGAGCCCGCGUUGGAUUAGCUAGUUGGUGGGGUAAAGGCCUACCAAGGCGACGAUCCAUAGCUGGUCUAAGAGGAUGAUCAGCCACAUUGGGACUGAGACACGGCCCAAACUCCUACGGGCGGCAGCAGUGGGGAAUAUUGGACAAUGGGCGCAAGCCUGAUCCAGCCAUGCCGCGUGAGUGAUGAAGGCCCUAGGGUUGUAAAGCUCUUUCAGUGGGGACGAUAAUGACGGUACCCACAGAAGAAGCCCCGGCUAACUUCGU